GGGAAGAUACUCAAGCGGCCAACGAGGGCGGACUGUAAAUCCGCUGGUAACACCUUCGCAGGUUCGAAUCCUGCUCUUCCCA
rnacentral:tRNA from 1 species